UACUAGAGUAGCACUCGCAUAUCAAUAAGCGGAGGAAAAGAAACUAACAAGGAUUCCCUUAGUAACGGCGAGUGAAGCGGGAAGAGCUCAAAUUUGAAAUCUUCAAGGUUCUACCUUGACGAAUUGUAGUUUAUAGAAGUGUUUUCUGUUAGUAGAGUGGCGAAAGUUCUUUGGAAUAGGACAUCAUAGAGGGUGAGAAUCCCGUAUUUGGUCAUUCUUUCUAGCUUUGUGAUACACUUUCAACGAGUCGGAUUGUUUGGGAAUGCAGUCCAAAAUGGGUGGUAAAUUUCAUCUAAAGCUAAAUAUUGGCGAGAGACCGAUAGCGAACAAGUACCGUGAGGGAAAGAUGAAAAGAACUUUGAAAAGAGAGUUAAACAGUACGUGAAAUUGUCAAAAGGGAAGCGUUUGACACCAGUGUUGUUUUCUCGAAAAUCAAUUAAAAAUGGCCGGAUUUCGUGUUGUAUUGACCUUAUAAGCUUUCUGCACUCUUUUCUUGUCUUUUUUAAUGCACUUUUCGUUUAACAAGUCAACAUCAAUUUCUUUUGUUGUAAAAGAGUCAUUGGAAGGUGGCUUUCUUUUCGGAGAAAGUGUUUAUAGCCUUUGAUCUCUGCAACCGGAGAGACUGAGGUCUGCAGCGUAGACUCUUCGGGGUUAGAUACAUUUGUGCUAAGCUAUAGCUUUUUAUAGACAACUUGUUGACUAUAUUUAGUCUUGUGGCUUACUCGCUUAUGCUAUUUUACCUACGCUUAGGAUGUUGAAGAUGUAGCACAUCAU
rnacentral:rRNA from 1 species